CUUAGGGACCACAAGAGUGUCAGUUUUCCCUGACAACUGCCUAACAAGCUGGUCGGGAACCAUUUAUUAAGCACCUACUAUGUGCCAGGCACUGUGCUAUGCUCUGGGAAUAAAAAAAUAAAGAGGCAAAAGAAAGUCCCUGAAGGGUAGGAAGGCGGCUCUGGCGAUAGAGGGCCAAGCCUAGAGGCCGGAGGUUCUGGGUUCGAAUUUGAUCUCAGAUACUUCUUAGCAGUAUGACGCUGGGCAAGUCAUUAAACUCCAAUCGCCUAAUUCUUGCCUCUCUCUGCCUUGGACCAGUACCUGUAUCAAUUCUAAGACAGAAGGUGAGGGUUUAGGGGGGAAAAAAGAAAUAGAAAGUCCCAGCCCUCAAGGAGAUGAUAAGCAAAUAAGCAAGUGCCAGAUAAAGAGGAAGUAAUUGACAGGAAAAGCCUUGGGAUGGGAAGAGAACUUGGGAAAGGCUUCCUGGGGAAGAUGAGGUUUUAGCUAGGACUUGAAGGAGGCCAGAGAAGGGACCGGAAGGAGGAAGGAGACUAUUCUAGGCAUAACCAGAGAAAAUGGCGUAGAACGAAGAGGUGGAGGCCUUUUGUUAGUGGAAAGGCCAGUGUCCCUGGAGGAAGGUGGAGGAAGCCUGGCAGGUUGUGAUGGGCUUUGAAGGGCGUUUGAUUGUGGAGGCAAUAAUAAGGCCGAGUGACCUUCUCUGCUCUGUACAUCCAUAGAGCCAUCUACAAAGGACUUAACCUAGAACCUGUUCAAAUCUAUUUGAUCUGUAUUAAUUUUUUCAGCAAUUUUUGACAGUUAUUUUCUGACAUUUUAGGAUUCAGCUUUUCCCCUUCACUCCCUUCCUUCCUUCCCCCCUUCCCCUGAGGCAGGAAAUAGUCUGAUAGAGGUUAUACUGGUACUUUCCUGCGGUACAUAUUUCUACCCAUGAAUAUAGUGAAAAUAACCACCUUGAAAAUCCCAUCUCAAUAUAAUGGUUGUGUUUAUAAGGCUCUGUGUUUUAUUCGAUGUAGGUAUACACACUUUUGGAGGAGGAGGCCCUAGACUUCACCAGAGUCAUUGCCCAAGGAGCCCGUGGCACCAAAACAGGGAAGACCCUUGGGCUCAGCUGAUCCCCGAAGGCCCAAUGGUCUUCCAUGAAGCCAACAUUCAGUGUUCCAAGUCUCUUUUUGCAGAGAGGUGGCUCUGGCUGGCAGCAUCCUAAGCUUCUUGGCAUCUUGGUGUGGUGGCAGCUAUUGUCUGGUUUAGUGGCGAGUUUCCCUUGAUACCAUACUGGAGGAAGACUAGUAACCUAGUUCAGGAGAGGUGCCUUCUCUGAGCUCUCUCAGAGUUUAGGCUGAUUCUUUCUCCUUUACCUUCCAAACAUUGUCCACUUAGAAGUCUCUAAUCUUCAGAAACCUUGUGGCAGAGGACUUUGAACUCCCCCUGGCACAGGCUGGGCAGGAGAAAUUCUAUACCCUUUCCCUCUCUCUUCUUGAUUUCUUCCCUCUAUAUUGAUUAAACCACCAUAGAUUUCCAAACUGACUUGGGUAUUUUAUUUGGGAUAUCCCCUGGUGACCAAAAAUUAAAUUUAGAUUAGGUCAUGACCCUAAAUUAUCCUUACAACAAUCAACUACACAGGAUUGUUUGGGGAAAGCAUUUUGUAAACCUGAAUGCUCCAGAGAAAGGGUGGGGUUUGGGGGUAGGUGGGGAAAUGGGGACAUGGGUUGAUUUUGGAGUGAAUUGUAUCAAUAUUAAUUUUAUUUUUUAUUUAUUGCUUUAAUGCUAAUAAAAUUGCUUUAGUAGAACUCA
ensembl:lncRNA